GAUUGCAUACACUGAUGACAUACCAUAGCACUGAUCAGUGUUACCGGCGCUCCCUUACUACUGCCUGCCAUGGAGGGCUACACUAAGGGAGCGACGAUCGGACGUCAAGAGCACGCCCAUCCAGAAGCAGCACAAGGACAUCAUAGACUUCUUUAUUAGUUCCAAUUUACUUCAUGCCCCUGGACGCAGAGGAAAAUAUCUCGGGAACCUCCUUAGAAGACUGAUCAAGGUCACAUACGGAUACUGGCCAAGUCCCGUUAUGCUGGAAUGAUCUCACCGCCUCCUAUGGCAGUCUCCUAGAUGGGAAGAAUGUAUGCUUUAUGUAACGUUUCAUAGGGCAGAAGCAGAAGUAAAGGACGACUGGAAUGACAACUACUCCAAAAAAGGAGAAUACAGU